rnacentral:rRNA from 1 species
CCUACGGGUGGCUGCAGUGAGGAAUAUUGGUCAAUGGGCGUAAGCCUGAACCAGCCAAGUCGCGUGAGGGAUGACGGCUCUAUGGGUCGUAAACCUCUUUUAUCAGGGAAUAAAGAGCGGGACGUGUCCCGCCUCGUGUGUACCCGAUGAAUAAGCAUCGGCUAACUCCGUGCCAGCAGCCGCGGUAAUACGGAGGAUGCGAGCGUUAUCCGGAUUUAUUGGGUUUAAAGGGUGCGUAGGCGGCCUUUUAAGUCAGCGGUGAAAGUGUGUGGCUCAACCAUUGAAUUGCCGUUGAAACUGGGAGGCUUGAGUGUGUGAGAGGCAGGCGGAAUGCGUGGUGUAGCGGUGAAAUGCAUAGAUAUCACGCAGAACCCCGAUUGCGAAGGCAGCGUACCGGGGCAUGACUGACGCUGAUGCACGAAAGCGUGGGGAUCAAACAGGAUUAGAUACCCUUGUAGUC